rnacentral:rRNA from 1 species
AUUGAACGCUGGCGGCAGGCCUAACACAUGCAAGUCGAGCGGAUGAAGGGAGCUUGCUCCUGGAUUCAGCGGCGGACGGGUGAGUAAUGCCUAGGAAUCUGCCUGGUAGUGGGGGAUAACGUCCGGAAACGGGCGCUAAUACCGCAUACGUCCCGAGGGAGAAAGUGGGGGAUCUUCGGACCUCACGCUAUCAGAUGAGCCUAGGUCGGAUUAGCUAGUUGGUGGGGUAAAGGCCUACCAAGGCGACGAUCCGUAACUGGUCUGAGAGGAUGAUCAGUCACACUGGAACUGAGACACGGUCCAGACUCCUACGGGAGGCAGCAGUGGGGAAUAUUGGACAAUGGGCGAAAGCCUGAUCCAGCCAUGCCGCGUGUGUGAAGAAGGUCUUCGGAUUGUAAAGCACUUUAAGUUGGGAGGAAGGGCAGCAAGUUAAUACCUUGCUGUUUUGACGUUACCAACAGAAUAAGCACCGGCUAACUUCGUG